UGGGGAAUUUUGGACAAUGGGCGAAAGCCUGAUCCAGCAAUGCCGCGUGUGUGAAGAAGGCCUUCGGGUUGUAAAGCACUUUUGUCCGGAAAGAAAUCCUCUGGGUUAAUACCUCGGGGGGAUGACGGUACCGGAAGAAUAAGCACCGGCUAACUACGUGCCAGCAGCCGCGGUAAUACGUAGGGUGCAAGCGUUAAUCGAAUUACUGGGCGUAAAGCGUGCGCAGGCGGUUUUGUAAGACGGAUGUGAAAUCCCCGGGCUUAACCUGGGAACUGCAUUCGUGACUGCAAGGCUAGAGUAUGGCAGAGGGGGGUAGAAUUCCACGUGUAGCAGUGAAAUGCGUAGAGAUGUGGAGGAAUACCGAUGGCGAAGGCAGCCCCCUGGGCCAAUACUGACGCUCAUGCACGAAAGCGUGGGGGAGCAAAACAGGAUUAGAUACCCUGGUAGUCCACGCCCUAAAACGAUGUCAACUAGUUGUUGGGGAUUCAUUUCCUUAGUAACGUAGCU
rnacentral:rRNA from 1 species